UGGGGAAUAUUGCACAAUGGGGGAAACCCUGAUGCAGCGACGCCGCGUGAACGAAGAAGGUAUUCGUAUCGUAAAGUUCUGUCCUAUGGGAAGAUAAUGACAGUACCAUAGAAGAAAGCUCCGGCUAAAUACGUGCCAGCAGCCGCGGUAAUACGUAUGGAGCGAGCGUUGUCCGGAAUUAUUGGGCGUAAAGGGUACGCAGGCGGUUUAAUAAGUCGAAUGUUAAAGAUCGGGACUCAACCCCGCAAAGCAUUGGAAACUGAUAAACUUGAGUAGUGGAGAGGAAAGUGGAAUUCCUAGUGUAGUGGUGAAAUACGUAGAUAUUAGGAGGAAUACCAGUAGCGAAGGCGACUUUCUGGACACAAACUGACGCUGAGGUACGAAAGCGUGGGGAGCAAACAGG
rnacentral:rRNA from 1 species